rnacentral:rRNA from 1 species
CGGAACGGGUGAGUAACGCGUGAGGAACCUGCCUCAAAGAGGGGGACAACAGUUGGAAACGACUGCUAAUACCGCAUAAGCCCACAGCUCGGCAUCGAGCAGAGGGAAAAGGAGCAAUCCGCUUUGAGAUGGCCUCGCGUCCGAUUAGCUAGUUGGUGAGGUAACGGCCCACCAAGGCAACGAUCGGUAGCCGGACUGAGAGGGUGACCGGCCACAUUGGGACUGAGACACGGCCCAA